rnacentral:rRNA from 1 species
AUGAAGUCGGAAUUGCUAGUAAUCGCGGAUCAGCAUGCCGCGGUGAAUACGUUCCCGGGCCUUGUACACACCGCCCGUCACACCAUGGGAGUCGGAAAUGCCCGAAGUCUGUGACCCAACCGAAAGGAGGGAGCAGCCGAAGGCAGGUCGGAUGACUGGGGUGAAGUCGUAACAAGGUAUC